rnacentral:sRNA from 2 species
GUACGCGUUUCGGUGGCCUUCUAUCGCCCAUCAACAGCAGGGAGAGGCCAGCGAAACAAAGAAAGAAGGUUGGAGCCAUGCCUAAUAAUAGAUUGAUUGGCAAGACAAUUUCCGCCUCAUAAUCCGCACAAGCACAGAUGCCGCUUAUCACCACCCGGGCAUCGAAUCCCCACUUACUCUUACUGUGCAUUCGCAUGUCAAGUUCUCUUCGAGGGAUGGAUGGUUAUUUAUAUAUAUGUUCGCAGCUUCCAAUUUGACCAGGAUUCCUAUAGAUAUCGAUAAUCAGGCAGCCUUGGUACAGUAAUGCACAGAAAUAACCAGCGGGAUAUGCGAAUACUGAGUAUAUACUACAGCGUAUGUAGGUCAUCCACCACUAACCAGCCCUUAUCGAUAAGAAGAGCUAGCGCAAAAAGUUGGUAGCUCCAGCCCAGCUCCGAUAUAGUCAUAUGUACGGAGGACCAUCUCAAAAGUUCUUUCUCAUACUAAAAACGCCACAAAAGUCUAAUUUGAAUAUACUCUAUAAUCUUUUGAAUAUGAGUAUAAAUCCACUCUAUUCAUGCUUGUAUCAUCUUCUGUGAAAGAUUUUUUCAAUACUGCUUUCAUAUCUUAAUUUCUUCUGUCUGACUCUUUGAUGCUGUGAUAAUCUAUAAGCAAGCAUCAUGAAUCCAUGAUCAUCAGAUUAUUCAAAGCAAAAUAUCAACAUAAUCAUUUUUUAAAUGAUUGCACUUAUAGUGAUAUCUAUAUCUGUGAGUACAGUGAUGUGACUCAGCCCACAGCAGGUGUGAUUAUUCAUCUCAUCAUCUAUAUAUAGUACACUGCAACUGUCUGCUGCAAUAUAACACAAUACAUCUCUUGUGCAAUUUUGUGCUUCAUUCAGAGUCAGCAAGAUUCUAUAGAAUUAAGGUCUGAAGAAUUACUUGAUCAGAGCAUAUAUAUCAGUAUUAGAAGUCAUCUUGACAAGUAAUUUAAUGAGAAAUGAAAAUAUCAUCUCUACUCCGGAGUGUGAUGAAGCAGACUUGGGGG